rnacentral:rRNA from 1 species
GACGAACGCUGGCGGCGUGCUUAACACAUGCAAGUCGAACGGAAGGGCCAUGCGUUUGUUGGGUGCUCGAGAGGCGCACGGGUGAGUAACACGUGAGUAACAUGCACUUGACUUUGGGAUAACUUCAGGAAACUGGGGCUAAUACCGGAUAGGAGCUCCUGCUGCAUGGUGGGGGUUGGAAAGAUUCGGCGGUUGGGGAUGGACUCGCGGGUUAUGGGCUGCUUGGUGGAGUAGUGGAUGACAAAGUCUUUGACGGGUAGCCGGCCUGAGAGGGUGACCGGCGACAUUGCGCCUGAGAGACGGAGCAGACUGCUACGUGACGCAGUAGGGGAGAAUAUUGCAGAAUGGGCCGACGCGUGAUGCAGCAACGCCGCGUGCGGGAUGAUGGGCUACGGGUUGUAAACCGCUGUCGCAUUUGACGAAGCGUGAGUGACGGUACUGGGUAAAGAAGCACCGGCUAACUACGUG